rnacentral:rRNA from 1 species
UGGGGAAUAUUGCACAAUGGGCGCAAGCCUGAUGCAGCCAUGCCGCGUGUAUGAAGAAGGCCUUCGGGUUGUAAAGUACUUUCAGCGGGGAGGAAGGUGUUGCGGUUAAUAACCACAGCAAUUGACGUUACCCGCAGAAGAAGCACCGGCUAACUCCGUGCCAGCAGCCGCGGUAAUACGGAGGGUGCAAGCGUUAAUCGGAAUUACUGGGCGUAAAGCGCACGCAGGCGGUCUGUCAAGUCGGAUGUGAAAUCCCCGGGCUCAACCUGGGAACUGCAUCCGAAACUGGCAGGCUUGAGUCUUGUAGAGGGGGGUAGAAUUCCAGGUGUAGCGGUGAAAUGCGUAGAGAUCUGGAGGAAUACCGGUGGCGAAGGCGGCCCCCUGGACAAAGACUGACGCUCAGGUGCGAAAGCGUGGGGAGCAAACA